rnacentral:rRNA from 1 species
GACGAACGCUGGCGGCGUGCCUAAUACAUGCAAGUAGAACGCACAGUUUAUACCGUAGCUUGCUCCACCAUAGACUGUGAGUUGCGAACGGGUGAGUAACGCGUAGGUAACCUGCCUGGUAGCGGGGGAUAACUAUUGGAAACGAUAGCUAAUACCGCAUAAUAUUAAUUAUUGCAUGAUAAUUAAUUGAAAGGUGCAAUUGCACCACUACCAGAUGGACCUGCGUUGUAUUAGCUAGUAGGUGAGGUAACGGCUCACCUAGGCGACGAUACAUAGCCGACCUGAGAGGGUGAUCGGCCACACUGGGACUGAGACACGGCCCAGACUCCUACGGGAGGCAGCAGUAGGGAAUCUUCGGCAAUGGACGAAAGUCUGACCGAGCAACGCCGCGUGAGUGAAGAAGGGUUUCGGAUCGUAAAGCUCUGUUGUAAGAGAAGAACGGGUGUGAGAGUGGAAAGUUCACACUGUGACGGUAUCUGACCAGAAAGGGACGGCUAACUACGUG